GAGAAUGGAGAGAUGGAGAACGGAGAGGAAUAAGGAGAGUAUGUGUGGACGAGAUGGAAGAUGAGGAAGAGUCAGAUGGGGAAGUACUAGCUGGGGAAUUUUUAUUCUGGAGGAAGAAGGACUCUACCAAUUCUCAGGAAGGAAACAAAACCUCACAGCUCACAAGAUGCCUUUUCAAGGUCCCAUAAGAACCAGCAGUUGCUAGGAGAAGAAGAUUUGGAAUAAAGGACAGUUCUGACAGUUAUACCACAACUCCUGGAAUGCUACAAUGCUGCUUCCUGUGUUUGUUCAUUAUUCCUCACAAUAACCCAUUCUAUGUGCUUUAGCUUGCAAGCAAUGCAUCUCUACUGCAUUUACAAAGGUCAUUAUAAAAAGCAGCCAUGACAAUGAAUAGACACAAGCUGUAACAUCUUCUUGUACACAUUCUGUUGAGCUGAUCAAUGGAAAUAAUGGAUCUUCUGCAGCAAUUUAAAUUUCAUUUACACUUGAAAUGGCUGGGAAAAUAAAAUAACUCUCAAG